rnacentral:snRNA from 1 species
GUGCUCGCUUCAGCAGCACAUAUACAAAAAUUGGAAGGAUACAGAAAAGAUUGGCAUGGCCCCUGUGCUAAGAUAACAUGCAAAUUCGUGAAGCGUUCCAUAGUUUU